rnacentral:rRNA from 1 species
AUUGAACGCUGGCGGCAGGCCUAACACAUGCAAGUCGAGCGGAUGAAGGGAGCUUGCUCCUGGAUUCAGCGGCGGACGGGUGAGUAAUGCCUAGGAAUCUGCCUGGUAGUGGGGGAUAACGUCCGGAAACGGGCGCUAAUACCGCAUACGUCCUGAGGGAGAAAGUGGGGGAUCUUCGGACCUCACGCUAUCAGAUGAGCCUAGGUCGGAUUAGCUAGUUGGUGGGGUAAAGGCCUACCAAGGCGACGAUCCGUAACUGGUCUGAGAGGAUGAUCAGUCACACUGGAACUGAGACACGGUCAAGACUCCUACGGGAGGCAGCAGUGGGGAAUAUUGGACAAUGGGCGAAAGCCUGAUCCAGCCAUGCCGCGUGUGUGAAGAAGGUCUUCGGAUUGUAAAGCACUUUAAGUUGGGAGGAAGGGCAGUAAGUUAAUACCUUGCUGGUUUGACGUUACCAACAAAAUAAGCACCGGCUAACUUCGUG